UCGAUAGCUCAGUUGGUAGAGCAAAGGACUGAAAAUCCUUGUGUCGGUGGUUCAAUUCCACCUCGAG
rnacentral:tRNA from 1 species